rnacentral:rRNA from 1 species
UACGGGGGGAGCAAGCGUUGUUCGGAUUUACUGGGCGUAAAGGGCGGGUAGGCGGCCACUGCAAGUCGGUUGUGAAAUCUCCGGGCUUAACUCGGAAAGGUCAACUGAUACUGUGCGACUAGAGUGCGGAAGGGGCAACUGGAAUUCUCGGUGUAGCGGUGAAAUGCGUAGAUAUCGAGAGGAACACCUGCGGCGAAGGCGGGUUGCUGGGCCGACACUGACGCUGAUGCGCGAAAGCCAGGGGAGCGAACGGGG